GUCAGGAUGGCCGAGUGGUCUAAGGCACCAGACUUAAGGUAUCCCUUUCUUCGUUUGGGGUUUCUGGUCUCCAACUGGAGGCGUGGGUUCGAAUCCCACUUCUGACA
rfam:Loxodonta africana unplaced genomic scaffold scaffold_108, whole genome shotgun sequence.